rnacentral:tRNA from 1 species
GCAGCAGUUAACUAUUUGGCUUUUAACCAAAAGAUUGGUGGUUUGAACCCACCCAGCAGCU